rnacentral:rRNA from 1 species
AUCCUGGCUCAGGAUGAACGCUGGCGGUGUGCCUUAAGCAUGCAAGUCGAACGAGAAUUUACUCUUCGGAGUAAAGGAAAGUGGCGGACGGGUGAGUAACGCGUAGGAAUCCACCUUUUAGUGGGGAAUAGCCUCGGGAAACCGGGAUUAAUACCGCAUGUGGUCGCAAGACCAAAGACUUCGGUCGCUAAAAGAGGAGCCUGCGUCCUAUCAGGUUGUUGGUGAGAUAAUGGCUCACCAAGCCUAUGACGGGUAGCCGGUGUGAGAGCACGAUCGGCCACAAGGUCACUGAGACACGGGACCUACACCUACGGGUGGCAGCAACUGGGAAUAUUGCGCAAUGGGCGAAAGCCUGACGCAGCGACACCGCGUGUGGGAUGAAGCUCCUCGGAGUGUAAACCACUGUGGCAAGGGAAGAAUUAAUGACUGUACCUUGCUAGAAAGCACCUGCUAACUACGUGCCAGAAGCCUCGGUAAUACGUAUGGGGCAAGCGUUACUCGGAAUUACUGGGCGUAAAGGGU